rnacentral:rRNA from 1 species
UACGGAGGGUGCGAGCGUUGUCCGGAAUCACUGGGCGUAAAGGGCGCGUAGGCGGCGCAACAAGUCAACGGUGAAAGCCUGGGGCUCAACCCCGGGUCGGCCGUCGAGACUGUUGUGCUCGAGCACUGUAGAGGCAGGUGGAAUUCCGGGUGUAGCGGUGGAAUGCGUAGAGAUCCGGAAGAACACCGGUGGCGAAGGCGGCCUGCUGGGCAGUAGCUGACGCUGAUGCGCGACAGCGUGGGGAGCAAACAGG